rnacentral:rRNA from 1 species
CCUCGGGAGGCAGCAGUGGGGAAUAUUGGGCAAUGGGCGCAAGCCUGACCCAGCAACGCCGCGUGAAGGAAGAAGGCUUUCGGGUUGUAAACUUCUUUUCUCAGGGACGAAGCAAGUGACGGUACCUGAGGAAUAAGCCACGGCUAACUACGUGCCAGCAGCCGCGGUAAUACGUAGGUGGCAAGCGUUAUCCGGAUUUACUGGGUGUAAAGGGCGUGUAGGCGGGACUGCAAGUCAGAUGUGAAAACCACGGGCUCAACCUGUGGCCUGCAUUUGAAACUGUAGUUCUUGAGUGCUGGAGAGGCAGACGGAAUUCCUGGUGUAGCGGUGAAAUGCGUAGAUAUUAGGAGGAACACCAGUGGCGAAGGCGGUCUGCUGGACAGCAACUGACGCUGAGGCGCGAAAGCGUGGGGAGCAAACAGGAUUAGAUACGCCGGUAGUC